rnacentral:rRNA from 1 species
AUACGGAGGACGCGAGCGUUAUCCGGAUUCAUUGGGUUUAAAGGGUGCGCAGGCGGCCGUGCAAGUCAGCGGUGAAAGCCCGGGGCCCAACCCCGGAAGUGCCGUUGAUACUGCAUGGCUUGAAUGCGGUCGAGGCGGGCGGGACGUGGCGUGUAGCGGGGAAAUGCGUAGAGAUGCCACAGAACGCCGAUAGCGGAGGCAGCUCGCCAGGCCUGCAUUGACGCUCGGGCACGAAAGCGUGGGGAUCGAACAGGAUUAGAUACCCUGGUAGUCCACGCCGUAAACGAUGGGCGCUCGUCGUCGGCGGCAGACAGUCGGCGGCCAAGCGAAAGCGAUAAGCGCCCCACCUGGGGAGUACGGUCGCAAGGCUGAAACUCAAAUGAAUUGACGGGG